CCCCGGCCCCGGCUGACCCCGGCCCCGGCUGACCCCGGCCCCUGAGACGUGGGUGGAUUGCUGGCAGGGAUCCGACGUGCAGGUGCGAGCCGCGGGCUGGGCGCCGAGGAAGGCGACUUUGCGUGGGCUCCGCAGAACCUGAGGAAGCAGUUUCCAAGAUAAUUUUAACAGCCUUGACUACUGUUACUAAGUCUCCUCCGUCCCACCAGCAUCAGCGCCACAAACCUGGAACCUCCGUCCCUGCCGCUGCAGCUUGCCCCCAGAGCUCGCUGCCGAGUGCGGGCCACACAGUAUCUGAAUCUAUCCUGCAGAAGCACCAAGGGGCCAUAAAGGCCAUGGUUAUGAGCUCCAGAAGAUAGAGCAGAAAUGAACAACAGAGAGAGGGGUUCUCUGGGGCUCUUCAAUGAAAAUUGAAGCCCACUGGGAAAGUGAAGAAAACCUCUGCAAUAAAGGCACACUGGACCACUGUGAUUGACAGUUUUCAGCAGUGUUUGGUUCAAGGCAAUUUCCUCCUCUAUGGCUGCUGGAUUUUGGGACUAAGCUUCCAGAAUGGUGAGUUUCCCUUUCCUGGGACCCUUCCAGAGUAAAGCUGACUUUCAUUUAUCUCUGGGCCAUAUUUAAAAAAAAAAAAAGAAAAGAAAAGAAACUGGCUUAGAUUUAAUCCUGAAACUCUCAAAAAAUAAAGUUUUAGUCCAAGUUUAUCUGCCUUUAAGUCCUUAGGCAGAAUUAGAGAUUAACUCGUCUUCCCUCACUCCUCAAAAAUGACACUGAUUGGUUUUUAUAACACAAGACAGACUGAUUUUUAUAACACAUAUAAUAAGUUCAGCGAUAGAAUGAGACAUUCCUGGGGAACUUUAUGAGUUUAACAAUAGCUUUAAACAAAAAACAGUUAUUAAAGAAUAGGCACUGGGCCAGGGAUUUAGCUCAGUGGUUCUGCUGCCUGCCUUGCCAAGUGCAAGGUCUCGAGUUCAAUCCCCUGUACCACCAAAAAAAAAAAAAAAAAAAAAAAAAAAAAAAAAAAAAAAAAAAAAAAAGGGAUAGGCACAACUCCAGUCCCCAGAGGACUGCCUCUCUUCAUGAUUUCUCGCCAGGACAUCUUGCCAGGCUGGCCACUAUUAUCAGAGAUAUGCUAAUUGAGGCUUUGAAAAAAAGGCCUAUAGCUAAGUAUGGUCCAAGGGUUAGAGGCAAAAUGAGAAAAAC
rnacentral:lncRNA from 1 species